rnacentral:rRNA from 1 species
ACUCAAAUGAAUUGACGGGGGCCCGCACAAGCGGCGGAGCAUGUGGCUUAAUUCGAUGCAACGCGAAGAACCUUACCAGGGCUUGACAUGCGGGGAAAUCCAUCAGAGAUGGUGGGUCCUUUAAAGGGUCCCGUGCAGGUGGUGCAUGGCUGUCGUCAGCUCGUGUCGUGAGAUGUUGGGUUAAGUCCCGCAACGAGCGCAACCCUUGUCCUAUGUUGCCAGCGGUUCGGCCGGGGACUCAUAGGAGACUGCCGGGGUCAACUCGGAGGAAGGUGGGGAUGACGUCAAGUCAUCAUGCCCCUUACGUCCUGGGCUGCACACAUGCUACAAUGGCCGGUACAAUGGGCUGCGAUACCGCGAGGUGGAGCGAAUCCCAAAAAGCCGGUCUCAGUUCGGAUCGGGGUCUGCAACUCGACCCCGUGAAGUCGGAGUCGCUAGUAAUCGCAGAUCAGCAUUGCUGCGGUGAAUACGUUCCCGGGCCUUGUACACACCGCCCGU